rnacentral:rRNA from 1 species
AAUGCGUAGAGAUCAGGAAGAACACCGGUGGCGAAAGCGCUCUGCUGGGCUACAACUGACACUGAGGGACGAAAGCUAGGGGAGCGAAUGGGAUUAGAUACCCCAGUAGUCCUAGCGGUAAACGAUGGAAACUAGGUGUGGCCUGUAUCGACCCGGGCCGUGCCGGAGCUAACGCGUUAAGUUUCCCGCCUGGGGAGUACGCACGCAAGUGUGAAACUCAAAGGAAUUGACGGGGGCCCGCACAAGCGGUGGAGUAUGUGGUUUAAUUCGAUGCAACGCGAAGAACCUUACCAGGACUUGACAUUUCGGGAAUCCCUUUGAAAGGAGGGAGUGCC